rnacentral:rRNA from 1 species
GCUGAAACUUAAAGGAAUUGGCGGGGGAGCACCACAAGGCGUGAAGCUUGCGGUUUAAUUGGAGUCAACGCCGGAAAUCUUACCGGGGGCGACAGCAGGAUGAAAGCCAGAUUAAAGGUCUUGCCAGACGAGCUGAGAGGAGGUGCAUGGCCGUCGCCAGUUCGUGCCGUGAGGUGUCCUGUUAAGUCAGGCAACGAUCGAGACCCGUAUCCCCCGUUGCUACCAGCCUUGAGCUGGGCACACUGGGGAGACCGCCGCCGAUAAGGCGGAGGAAGGAGCGGGCCACGGCAGGUCAGUAUGCCCCGAAUCUCCCGGGCCACACGCGAGCUGCAAUGGCAGGUACAAUGGGUUCCGACCUCGAAAGGGGAAGGCAAUCUCGAAAGCCUGCCGUAGUUGGGAUCGAGGGUUGAAACCCACCCUCGUGAACAUGGAAUCCCUAGUAAUCGCGUGUCACUAGCGCGCGGUGAAUACGUCCCUGCUCCUUGCACACACCGCCCGUCGUUCCAUCCGAGCGACUCUU